AACGAACGCUGGCGGCAGGCUUAACACAUGCAAGUCGAACGCCCCGCAAGGGGAGUGGCAGACGGGUGAGUAACGCGUGGGAACAUACCCUUUUCUACGGAAUAGCUCUGGGAAACUGGAAUUAAUACCGUAUACGCCCUACGGGGGAAAGAUUUAUCGGGGAAGGAUUGGCCCGCGUUGGAUUAGCUAGUUGGUGGGGUAAAGGCCUACCAAGGCGACGAUCCAUAGCUGGUCUGAGAGGCUGAUCAGCCACAUUGGGACUGAGACACGGCCCAAACUCCUACGGGAGGCAGCAGUGGGGAAUAUUGGACAAUGGGCGCAAGCCUGAUCCAGCCAUGCCGCGUGAGUGAUGAAGGCCUUAGGGUUGUAAAGCUCUUUCACCGAUGAAGAUAAUGACGGUAGUCGGAGAAGAAGCCCCGGCUAACUUCGUG
rnacentral:rRNA from 1 species